UAGCAGAGCGGAGCUGGGCCUCUGGAAGUGGCUGAGGAAAGAAAAGAACUCUAAAAGACUGAUUUCUUCUUCACCCCGUGCAUCAAUUUCAGCAGAAACAAAAGAAGAGCCUCAUCAGAAAGAUCCCUGAAGCAGACAAACCUCAUAGGUCUCAUAGGCAUAACACUCCAGCUCACACAAUGCUGUACCUUCCAUUGGAUUUAGGGAGCUGAGGAGUGGCCUGGGAGCUGUUAUUCUGCUUCCCCCAAAGAGCAGCUCUGCUUGCUGAUCCUCCUGCUUCAUUUUAAAAGAAGUCCCUCUCUGGGGCACUCUGGGUGUAUGAGAAUAAUGUAGAGCUCACGGCGGUGGCUGAGCACUACACGACUACUGUGCGAGCCUGGCACAAACAAAUCGGAGUCAUUCGUGACCACUGCCCCAUGGAGAGCUCCACAAAGCACCACGGAGAGCUGGCUGCUGCUGCUCACCCCGCACACUGCUUGGGAGGAGCUGGCUGACAUUCAUCGUGUGCCAUCCAUCACGCCAGAGGACAGGCAGCAGUGUCAUUGUGGGCAUUCCUGGCGUGUCACCGCCGCUGGGAUUCAUUCCGUGCGGCUUCUCGGGUAUAGCUUGGAGCCCAUUGCAAGGAGCGGUGAGGAUGGGAGCUGGCCCCACAGUGCUUGUGACGAAUCAAGUAGGACUAGAUGAUCUUAGCGGUCUUUCCAACCUUUAUGAUUCUAUGAAUCUAAGUGCUGCAUCCAAGCAGGACCUCUGGCAGCUCUUCAGGCAUGAGUGGGGAUUAGCAUCAGCUUAGAGCAGAAGCGUUGAGACCUCCUAUCUCCAUCAGACCCCCCUUGUGCCCUAUGCCAUGCUUGUCCAAGCUGCGUUGCUCUUCUUGCUCACCAGUGGAUGCCGCCAAGAAGUGAAGCACAGGCUCCGAGCAGGAGCCUCCCGCAGCACGAAAGGGUUAAGCUGUGUUGUUCAUUGUCACAUGGUGCUGGGAAUGCAGAGGCAGCGAGAGGCUGGGGAGCACAUCUUGACUGCACAUGUGGCCUCUACCACAAACACUUCAAAGUGCUUCCCUCAGACUGACGGAACAGCCUGACGCCGACUGUAAAUGCCCUUGACACGCAGAGUGGAAAAUAUCAAACGCUUCGGCAGUCCCCCCGAAACGCAGCCUGUUUUCACUGGGGAAGGCCUUAAUGAACCUGUGCGGGAGAGGAGGAGGGCCAGGCGGAUGGCGGUGGGACGGGUGGUUCUCAUUUAGCUCAUGUACGGGUACACGCCAGCCUGGGCAACUGGACUUAAUCGGAGGUGAAGCCGAGUGCUCUGGGAUAUUUUGAGAGGGGCCGAGACAUCGACUGCAGGCGGUUCCGUGUCAGGACCCCGCCGUACUCACUCCUCCCUGCCCCGUCACCUGAGCACCACUGCACAAUUAGGAACAAAGGGGCAUCCAGGCUGGAGGAUUUUCCCUUUUCUUCAGAAGUCUUCACCUCUUUCACCCUCAGCUGUGAAAUGUCUGCUCCAGCCAGGUGCUCUGUGACACCAGCAUCAUGUCCAGCCCCAAAGGAAGCCGGACUGGCAAGGGACGUCCCCGCCUCUGGGAGGGAAGAUCCAUCCACCUUGGGCUGUGGAACGGGCAGGCCAUGGUAACAUUGGACAGGGAAGAUUUUGACUAGAUAUAAGAUUUUACAAUAAGGAUGGUGAGGCACUGGCACAGGCUGCCCAGAGAGGUGGUGGUGCCCUGUCCCUGCAGACAGCCAAGGUCAGCCUGGACAGGGCUCUGAAUACCUGAUGGAGCUCUAGGUGUCCUGUUCAGUAAAGGGAGGUUGGACCAGAUGGCCUCUAAUGUUUCCUUCCAACUCAAACAAUUCUAUAAUUUUAUGAUUCCAUGACUGGGAACACCCUUUGUGAAGAAGGUGUCCUCCCUUGGUGACCCAGACCAUGUAUCUCAUGUGUCUGGCAGCUGGUUUUGAGUAGAUUUUACCCUUGCUGCAUGAAAACCUAAGUUAUGGGCAGAAAACAUGGGCCUGCGCUGGUGAAAGCGGUGUCAGACACCAACGUGUGGCUCUUGACCACCUCUUAACCGUGAGUUAACAUCAAGACCACUGAAACCCUCCCCCAUGACCCAUGUUGAGUUGGAUCCUCAUGAAUGGUGGCUGACAGGGCCUGGCCUGUGACAGAGGAGGGGGCAGCAAGGCAGCAGGCCUGCAUGCGGUCUGCCUGGCUCUGGCACAGCUUACAUCGCUGCACGGCUGAACGGCGCUUGGCUGGCUGCAGGCAGGGAUCCAUCACUUAUGACACAUUUGGCAUGAGUGAAAUUGCCUCAUAAAAUGCUUCUCAGAUCAGCAGCAACUUGAGGGACCUCAGGAGGGAAGAGAAAAGGAGGAAAGUUCAGAUGUUCAGCUGCAAGGUCCCAUACCUCUUGGAAGCAAAAGCAGACGGGGAAGGAGACCACCAAGGGGCGAAAGGUGUAAUGAAGGGGUAAAGCAAAGGUGUUGCAGCUCACAAAGCUUCAUCCUUGCUUUCGGAGGGAGCAUAGAAGUUGGACCACCUCCAUCUCCUUGGGAGAGCAACCAGUAUUCCAGAUAACAACGAGGUAGAGCAGUUAAGAGGGCUUUAAUGGAGCAUCUUUGGGGAACAAUAAUAAGAGGGUAAACAGAAGACGUAGGCGCCACCAUAAACUGCUGACUGCUGGCAGCGUGGAUGUGAAAAAGCAAACCUGGAAGCCUGGGCAGUAAACAACAGGAGGUAAGAAUAGCCACCAGUGGAGAAAAAUAAUAAUAAAAAUGAGUUGGUAUUUCAGAAACUACGUGGGAAGGUUCAGCUGUGGCUGGAUUUCCCAGCACCAUUCUGUUCGGAGGAGAUGCUGCUGCCUUCUUUAGGGUUACAGCUUCGGUGCUGGGGGCAGGGCUGGGGCGCGGGGUCCUGGCGCGCUGACGGCUGAAGAUGGAUGGAUGGCCGAGCUGCAGAUGGAUGGCUGCUGUCAGCUGGUGGCCGGCCUCGCCAGCCCGGGAAGGGAAGCAGACUCCAUGCCCAGUCCUUUUAAAGGCUUUUGCCUCGGGUUAUGAUUUAUUGUUAGAAAACAAAGGAUGUUUAAGAAGAAGGAAAAAAAAAAAAGGCAACACAAAAUAAAACAUCUCAAUUGAUGAAAGCUGCCUUCGGUCCCUAGUGGCUUUUCCCCCUCUUGUUGAGCCUGGGAGCCGAGGAGGGUUGCAUCCCCCCACAAAUCACAGCUCCUUCUGCCUUUUGGGCUUGCAUCUCUCCAGCCUGGUGACGGGCAGGGACUGCGUAACCUAUCCCCAGGCUGUCAGCGUGCCAGCGAGCAUGACACCAUGCAUGAGCUCUGACCACUACUAUUUAUAUGCAGCGAGGGACCAGAUUUUUAAAAGCACAGAGGUGCCCAGCUCUAGACCCUAGCUCUGGAAAAAGAACAACUUCCCUAGGCUGGAAAUAGUUAGAAGCAAAAUUAG
ensembl:lncRNA